rnacentral:rRNA from 1 species
UACGGAGGGUGCAAGCGUUAUCCGGAUUUACUGGGUUUAAAGGGUGCGUAGGUGGGUAGGUAAGUCAGUGGUGAAAUCUUCGAGCUUAACUCGGAAACUGCCAUUGAUACUAUUUAUCUUGAAUACUUUGGAGGUAAGCGGAAUAUGUCAUGUAGCGGUGAAAUGCUUAGAUAUGACAUAGAACACCAAUUGCGAAGGCAGCUUACUACACAGUUAUUGACGCUGAGGCACGAAAGCGUGGGGAUCAAACAGG